rnacentral:lncRNA from 1 species
AGCUGCGGCGGCGGCAGGCGCGGCCGUUCGGUGGAGCCGCCGGCUCGGCUCUGAUGGAGGCGGCGCCGAAUUCGGCUGCGCUCGUCUCUGCCUUGAACCUUGGAAACAAGUGCUUUCAACAUAAGCGAUGUGAAGGCAUUAAAACAUGUUGAAUGGCUGUGUGCACAGGAUAUCCUACACCUGCCUGACAUCUGGAAUGCAGACUUUAAAACAUCCCAGAAAAGGAUCAUGGUUGCUCCAGCCUGGACCAUGAGCUGCUGAGCAGUCGCUGAAAAUCCCUUCAACAAAAUGACAUAGCUGAUGUGAGUAAAUAGUAAUUCCUUGAAGGAAGAGAAAUUCUAUUUCCAGGGGAAUGACUGCUUGACAGAUAAAAAGAGACACAAGUAUCCCCACAUCUUGGAAUUUGACCUCUAGCCGCCACAAUUGACUAUAUUUGUCAUCACCUUCUUCUUGUCCAGCUGAACUCCUAAACCUGCCACCCCACCCCUAGCUAAGCUAAUAACAUGAAACUGUGCCCCAAAAGAUAGUGAAUAUUUACUGAAAUGCAAAACCAAGAGUUAUAAACUAUAGCCACAGACAAGACUUCUUAAAUGCAGGAAGUUUUGAAUAAGUGGGCACAAGUUAAUACAAUCAAAGAAAAACAAUAUUUGAUAUUUUGGACAUGAGCCCAAUGUGCUGGCGUAUAUGUGUGUGUGAGUGGGCAGGUGGAUGGGGGAAAUCUCACUAAUGAUGGGUGUCAUCAGGAAAGAAAAUCCAAAAACAAAACUACCAUUCAUUUGUACAAUUAACAAUUAGAAAGUGACAAAUGUUUAAUAAUACACUUGGAGUGAUACAUGGUUGUACCUGACCUCAGAAAACUCAUGGCACAACUAAGAAGACAGAGACAUAGACAUAAACAUGUCACAUAGCUUGAGUUCUAGUUGGAGGAUUAAAAGUAUUAUACAAGUACAGAGAUCUAAGAGUUCUGCAGAAGAAAGAUGAUGUUUUAUAAGAAAGUUCCUCGGAGUGGGUCAUUUGAGCUGGGAUUUGAAGGCUAAAUAGGAGUAUGUCAGGUGUGCUUCAUAUCAGCAACUAACAAAAUCAAAGAGACAGAGAAACUGCUGUAGUUGUUAAAGUGACCCCAUCUCUACAAAAACUACAAAAGUUAUCCACGGGUGGUGACACACCCCUGUGGUCCCAGCUACUUAGGGGUGCUGAGGUGGGAGGAUGACUUGAGCCCAGGAGGUUGAGUGUUCAGUGAGCUGUGAUUGUACCACUGCACUCCAGCCUGAGUGACAGAGUGAGACCCUGUGUCAAAGAAAAAAAAAAAAAAAGAAGUGACAGAAAAGUAUAAGUGAUAAGUAGGACAAACCUACCACAUAUUGAAAUAAUAGAAGACAAGCACCUUUUGCUGGAAAAGCAUCACUGCGGGAAGAAUUCCUUCCAUAUAAUUACCAAGAAGUCACUAUUCCAUCAAAUGCAACCGAGAGCCACCGAAGUACCAAGAAAUAAGCAAAUCGGCCUCUAAAAGACCACCACAGCCCACCCCACACAAUCACAUAAAAAUCCAGUUACUAAUGCUUCCACUUUCCUCUCCAGUGAGACUGCUAGAUAUGCUUAUAUCUGACUUUAAAUAUAAUCCUAAUAAAUAUGCUCACCUGAUCUUCCUGUCCACAGCAAAUGGCAAAUAACAAAUCUGGAAAUGUAAGCAGAGUAGCAGCAUUAUGAAAUAACAGCUAAUAUUCCUGCCCUGACCCCAAAGAAAGCAGAACCAAUAGUUUUAAACCUCAGCAGGAAGCAUUCAUUUAAGAAGAAACAGCUCUAUACACAGCUGAGUAGCCACUGGAGGUGUUAUUUUGCUUUGUAUCCUGAUAUUCAUCAAGCAUGUGAGUCUCCAAGAAAAGUUUAGACCUUGUUGAUUAAACAGUAAAGGAUGAUGAGAGGCUUAUUCAGAAGAUUCCCUUUCAGUAUGGUUAAUUGCAGAUUUUUACCAUGUAAAAUAACCAGAUUAAAAAGUCUUCUCAUACCAUACUCCCCUCCUUCCACCUCCAAGCUUUGGUGGGUGCACCUGUUAGGCCUUGCAGUGCCCCUGUGAGCAUGCACCCUCACCACCCUCCUCCAGCUGACCGUAAGUCACUUGAGGGCAAGUCAUUUAUAUUCAUGUAACAUUUAUAGUUUGUCCCCAGUGCUUAGUUCAAAUGCCUUGGCACAUAAUGGGUAUUCAAAAAGGGUUUAUAUAAUGGACAAAGGAAAAUGAAGUGAUUGUAACACUUUUAAAGAAGAUUUAUAUUAAAAAUGAAUGAGCUUCCCACUACACGAACACUUCUUUUGCACUCACCAAUGAAAACUAAAAUUGAUUGAUCAUUUACUAGGUCAGGCACUGUUCCAAGCGUUUCACACAUGUGAAUUUAAUCCUCACCACAGUGCUGUGAAGCAGGCACUAUUAUGUUCCCUAUACCAAGGAGGACAGUGAGGCCCAGACAAUGUGCUGUGCCCAGGCAGGCAGCCGGUAAAUGACAGAGGCUGCCUGCACACUCUGGCAGGCUGGCUCCCAAGCCCAUGCCCUAUCCACUCUGUCAUAUACCUCCAGUGUUAUAUUAUUCAUAGAAGACCAAAAAAAGAAACCUAUGCGACUCACUGCUGCUAAAAGGGGUUGAGAACGUCAGUGUAGCUUCCCCGGUUUACAAAAAAAUCUUAGUGGUUGCACAACGUUGUGAAUGUAUGUAAUGCCACUAAGUUGUACACUUAAAAUAGUUACAAUGGUCAUUUUC